UACGGAGGGCGCAAGCGUUGUUCGGAAUUACUGGGCGUAAAGCGCGCGUAGGCGGCCAGGUAAGUCGGAUGUGAAAGCCCGGGGCCCAACCCCGGAACUGCACCCGAUACUGCCUGGCUGGAGUCCCGGAGAGGAUGGCGGAAUUUCCGGUGUAGAGGUGAAAUUCGUAGAUAUCGGAAGGAACACCAGUGGCGAAGGCGGUCAUCUGGACGGUGACUGACGCUGAGAAGCGAAAGCGUGGGGAGCAAACAGG
rnacentral:rRNA from 1 species